CGAAUUAAUGGCGUUUCUUGAAGGUUCGUGUCGUUGUAACAUACUUUGUCUUGUUUAAUAUGUAUUUAACGAACAAACGACAAUCUAAUUGCCCGCCUAAUCUAUUUUGUGGCAGCAAGGGUUAGAAAGGUCUUCGUGGAGCAAUCUGUCGGAGGAAUUGUCAUAAUUCCUAGACUUUUUUUUCGAUCUUUCGAAAUCGCUUCCUGUUAUUCGAUCAUUGACCCUUUUCUUUCUAUCGGGCAAUUGCCUGGAUUUUGUUCCUCGCGGUAGUCGGUGUAUCGGAAGUGAAACGCGGCGAGUCUGCUUCGUUACAGGUCCGCGCUCCACUUUGAGAAUCGAUAAGCUCUACUGGUCUCUAAAUGAAAUUCUACGACGAAGAAGGGCAAGAUUUUUCACAUUAGCCAGUCGGAAGUGGACCGGAAUUGUCGUUCUCUAGGUAUAUUCGAGACGCAGUGUAUCGUAGAGAGAAUCUCUCUAUAUACACGUUAAAGCUGACGUCGUACGGUCUCCUCCUCCAUGGGUCGAUCGAUAAACGCAAAACCGAGUUGCGCCUUUUUGCGCCGCUAAGAAACAGACGGACUAUUGUACUUUCGAGUACAGUUCGUACCAAUUCCGAUUUCGCACCAAUGACGCUUCGUGAUUCGCCAGAUUUAUGUUUGAGAAGCUUGGUAGAAAAGUGGUACAGGUGUGUUUUUUGUACGAAUGUGCACUGCAUAGAUGAACUGCAAACUACACGUAAGAUCCGCAUCCAUUUAGAGGAUCUUGUUAUAAAGUUUCGAGAUUUUAUGAGUUCUCGUAAUAAUACAUUUUAAUGCGCGAUCACUGUGAUGUAUAUACUGCGCGUGUCCUAGAACGGAUAGUGGUAGAGUUAUAUUAGUAAAGGUUUCCAAGAUUCGCAAGCGUCUCUUUAUCGAUCUAAUCUAUUGUCCGAAAGAAAUCCGUAAAAGAAUCGCAGCUAUUUCUCCGCACAGAAGCUCGUAAUUGGGAUAUCGAUUUUUAAUUGCAAGUACGACGCGAUUCUUAUCGUGCAGCUGCGAUUUAUUAAUUGUUCGUUCCCCGAGGCGUAUGCAUUUUCUCGAAACAGCGUCGCAACGACGUAGCGUAGAUUCUUAGGAUUUUCAGACACGUAAGAAUAUACAUUGUUACCCGUCAGAGUUUCGUAACGGACUAAUCGGAAUACUUAGCUCGUCAAUUGAGAAACCGGCAUUCGUCGGAUAACAACGAACUUGGUAGGAAGAUCAUAUGCGAUAAUCCUAAUUAGAAUUAUAAGCUAACACGCGAAAACUACAAGCCUCGUAGCCUUCGAAUAUGUUCACCUUCGGCUAUGAAAUUGCGGUAUUCGAAGACAUUGAACAGAUGUAUAGGUUCAACCUUCGCUUCGAGCUUCGAUCGAGUUCGAAGACACGCAAGACACGAUUCGUUCGAUCUUCGCGAGGCGUGAACUUUAACAUUUAACGUUUCAAGGAUCUGAAACGACUUAGGCGGCGCAGAUUCACGAAAAUCGAUGGUGAAGCGUGCCGAGAUCGGAUGUCACCUGGCAUACUGUAGUCGUUCAUGGUUGUGACCCGUUACACGGCUAGGAUUUGACCGUUCGAUUCCUUUCUCGUACGCCACGCAGUUUCGUAGCCCGUGUUUUGCCUCGUUAUGCAUGCACGUAACGCAUUCUUGCGCAAGCAGAAGCAAACGUCCGAUUUUCGAUCGUAGCAGUGUCGUAUAACGAGUGAGAAUGUAUAUGCGUUUUGUAUGCUCGAUUCUUGUCGUCGGCUUGCCAAAUCUUCGUUAGGGCAUCCCCAAUAUGCGCAGUGCGAGUAGCAUCAGUCAGGCUCGUGGAAAAUUAGCUUCUAACUUUAGUGCACAAUUAUAUCGUGCUGUGUCUUGUAUACGGCGUGUAACGUGUUGGCUGGCAAAUAUGAUGGAGCCAGCUACGAUCGUCGAGAAGCCGGUUAGUUAUUAAGUUCUUGCUUAAUACCGUACGUGCGGUGAAUUUGUCGCUUUUUUCUCGUCGAUCGUGGUAUAGCAUAGCUUGAAAGUGAGGUAGGCUACAAGAUUGAAUUUGCAGAUAAAAAGGGUUUGGUUUGCACUGGUCGAUGGCUGAUCGGUUGGUACCGGUUGGUAAUGGUUGGAUGGUCGGCUGUGAACGACAAACACGUGGAAACGUUUCAGACUAUGGCAUAUAUAAUAUACGAAGAAAAUUGUAGCACUGGCGCUGGUAAUUACACUUAAUAGGCUAGAUAUGGUAUACAUAGUAGAAAAGGAACAUUGAAUUACCCGAGAAAUAAAACAUCAAUUAAUUUUUAACGCUUGGAAUAUGAAAUAUGGAAAAAGUUGUGUAUGCAAAUAGAAGUGCACGUGAGAAAAGUCAGAAGUAAUUUUGAUCGGUACCGUAUGCCGGCUGGUACUGCACGAUUCUCCCCUA